GGUCCCUUAGCUCAGGUGGUUAGAGCAUCUGACUCAUAAUCAGAGGGUCCUUGGUUCGAGUCCAAGAGGGACCACCA
rnacentral:tRNA from 1 species